GGAGGGUUCGCAUAGUGGCCGAUUGCGCUCGCUUGGAAAGCGGGUAUACCGCAAGGUAUCAAGAGUUCGAAUCUCUUACCCUCCG
rfam:Parcubacteria (Wolfebacteria) bacterium GW2011_GWA2_47_9b TY19_C0014, whole genome shotgun sequence.